AUUGAACGCUGGCGGCAGGCCUAACACAUGCAAGUCGAGCGGAUGAAGGCUGCUUGCUCCUGGAUUCCGCGGCGGACGGGUGAGUAAUGCCUAGGAAUCUGCCUGGUAGUGGGGGAUAACGUCCGGAAACGGGCGCUAAUACCGCAUACUUCCUGAGGCAGAAAGUGGGGGAUCUUCGGACCUCACGCUAUCAGAUGAGCCUAGGUCGGAUUAGCUAGUUGGUGGGGUAAAGGCCUACCAAGCCGACGAUCCGUAACUGGUCUGAGAGGAUGAUCAGUCACACUGGAGCUGAGACACGGUCCAGACUCCUACGAGAGGCAGCAGUCGGGAAUAUUGGACAGUGGGCGAGAGCCUGAUCCAGCCAUGCCGCGUGUGUGAAGAAGGUCUUCGGAUUGUAAAGCACGUUAUGUUGUGAGAAAGGGCAGUAGGUUAAUACCUUGCGGGUUUGACGUUACCAACGGAAGAAGCACCGGCUAACUUCGUG
rnacentral:rRNA from 1 species